GCUGGGUGUGGUGGCGCACGCCUGUAGUCCCAGCUACUGGGGAAGCUGAGGUAGGAGGAUCACCUGAGCCCAGGGAAGUUGAGGCUGCAGUGAGCCAUGAUCACAGCACUGCACUCCAGCCUGAGGGACAGGGCAAUAUCCUGUCUCAA
rnacentral:SRP_RNA from 1 species